rfam:Otolemur garnettii contig088430, whole genome shotgun sequence.
AAGACAAUACUUUCAGGGAUCCUUUCUAUAGUGCAUUACGAGAGAAGUCUCUCUGAAUGUGUAGAGUACCAGAAACCAGGAGGAGGAAGCGCAGCGUUCUCUCCUGAGCGUGGAGCCAGCUCUUGGUGUUGCUUUAAUGCAAUUGCCAUUUGCCAUUGAUGAUUGUUCUUCUCUCCCUUUGGGAGAGUAAGAGGGAGAGAAAAAGA